rnacentral:pre_miRNA from 1 species
UUUGUGGAGGUGACAGAAGAGAGUGAGCACUUGGCUCUUUCCUAGCAUGGAUCUAAGUUCACGCCAAAAGCCGUGUGCUCUCUCUCUAUCUGUCACCACCUCCUU